rnacentral:rRNA from 1 species
AGACCCGAAACCCGGUGAUCUAGCCAUGGGCAGGUUGAAGGUUGGGUAACACUAACUGGAGGACCGAACCGACUAAUGUUGAAAAAUUAGCGGAUGACCUGUGGCUGGGGGUGAAAGGCCAAUCAAACCGGGAGAUAGCUGGUUCUCCCCGAAAGCUAUUUAGGUAGCGCCUCGUGAAUUCAUCUCCGGGGGUAGAGCACUGUUUCGGCUAGGGGGCCAUCCCGGCUUACCAACCCGAUGCAAACUGCGAAUACCGGAGAAUGUUAUCACGGGAGACACACGGCGGGUGCUAACGUCCGUCGUGAAGAGGGAAACAACCCAGACCGCCAGCUAAGGUCCCAAAGUCAUGGUUAAGUGGGAAACGAUGUGGGAAGGCCCAGACAGCCAGGAUGUUGGCUUAGAAGCAGCCAUCAUUUAAAGAAAGCGUAAUAGCUCACUGGUCGAGUCGGCCUGCGCGGAAGAUGUAACGGGGCUAAACCAUGCACCGAAGCUGCGGCAGCGACGCUGAUGCGUUGUUGGGUAGGGGAGCGUUCUGUAAGCCUGUGAAGGUGGCCUGUGAGGGUUGCUGGAGGUAUCAGAAGUGCGAAUGCUGACAUAAGUAACGAUAAAGCGGGUGAAAAGCCCGCUCGCCGGAAGACCAAGGGUUCCUGUCCAACGUUAAUCGGGGCAGGGUGAGUCGACCCCUAAGGCGAGGCCGAAAGGCGUAGUCGAUGGGAAACGGGUUAAUAUUCCCGUACUUGGUGUUACUGCGAAGGGGGGACGGAGAAGGCUAUGUUGGCCGGGCGACGGUUGUCCCGGUUUAAGCGUGUAGGUGUGUGUUCCAGGUAAAUCCGGUUCACUUUAACACUGAGGCGUGAUGACGAGGCACUACGGUGCUGAAGCAACAAAUGCCCUGCUUCCAGGAAAAGCCUCUAAGCAUCAGGUAACAUCAAAUCGUACCCCAAACCGACACAGGUGGUCAGGUAGAGAAUACCAAGGCGCUUGAGAGAACUCGGGUGAAGGAACUAGGCAAAAUGGUGCCGUAACUUCGGGAGAAGGCACGCUGACAUGUAGGUGAAGUGAUUUACUCAUGGAGCUGAAGUCAGUCGAAGAUA